UUGACCUCAAAUCAGGUAGGACUACCCGCUGAACUUAAGCAUAUCAAUAAGCGGAGGAAAAGAAACUAACAAGGAUUCCCCUAGUAACUGCGAGUGAAGCGGGAAAAGCUCAAAUUUAAAAUCUGGUAGUCUCUGGUUGCCCGAGUUGUAAUCUAGAGAAGCAUUAUCCGCGCUGGACCGUGUAUAAGUGUUCUGGAAUGAACCAUCAUAGAGGGUGAGAAUCCCGUCUUUGACACGGACUCCCAGGGCUUUGUGAUGUGCUCUCAAAGAGUCGAGUUGUUUGGGAAUGCAGCUCUAAAUGGGUGGUAAAUUCCAUCUAAAGCUAAAUAUUGGCGAGAGACCGAUAGCGAACAAGUACCGUGAGGGAAAGAUGAAAAGAACUUUGGAAAGAGAGUUAAACAGUACGUGAAAUUGCUGAAAGGGAAACGCUUGAAGUCAGUCGCGUUGGCUGGGGAUCAACCUUGCUUUUGCUUGGCUUACUUCCCAGUCGACGGGUCAGCAUCAGUUUUGACCGGUGGAUAAAGGCUAGGGGAAUGUGGCACCUACGGGUGUGUUAUAGCCCUUGGUCAUAUACACUGGUUGGGACUGAGGA
rnacentral:rRNA from 1 species